rnacentral:rRNA from 1 species
UACGUAGGCAGCAAGCGUUGUUCGGAGUUACUGGGCGUAAAGGGUGCGUAGGCGGCUCUAUAAGUAUGGUGUGAAAUCUCCCGGCUUAACUGGGAGGGUGCGCUAUAGACUGUGGGGCUAGAGUGUGGAAGGGGCAAUCGGAAUUCUUGGUGUAGCGGUGAAAUGCGUAGAUAUCAAGAGGAACACCUGAGGUGAAGACGGGUUGCUGGGCCAACACUGACGCUGAGGCGCGAAAGCCAGGGGAGCAAACGGG